rnacentral:rRNA from 1 species
GACGAACGCUGGCGGCGUGCUUAACACAUGCAAGUCGAACGGAAAGGCCCUGCUUUUGUGGGGUGCUCGAGUGGCGAACGGGUGAGUAACACGUGAGUAACCUGCCCUUGACUUUGGGAUAACUUCAGGAAACUGGGGCUAAUACCGGAUAGGAGCUCCUGCUGCAUGGUGGGGGUUGGAAAGUUUCGGCGGUUGGGGAUGGACUCGCGGCUUAUCAGCUUGUUGGUGGGGUAGUGGCUUACCAAGGCUUUGACGGGUAGCCGGCCUGAGAGGGUGACCGGCCACAAUGGGACUGAGAGACGGCCCAGACUCCUACGGGAGGCAGCAGUGGGGAAUAUGGCACAAUGGGCGGAAGCCUGAUGCAGCAACGCCGCGUGCGGGAUGACGGCCUUCGGGGUGUAAACCGCUUUCGCCUGUGACGAAGCGUGAGUGACGGUAAUGGGUAAAGAAGCACCGGCUAACUACGUG